GGUGGUUCAGUGGUAGAGUACUUGCCUUGUAUGCAUGAAGCCCUGGGUUCAAUUCCUCAGCACCA
rnacentral:tRNA from 1 species